rnacentral:rRNA from 1 species
UACGGGGGGGGCAAGCGUUGCUCGGAAUUACUGGGCGUAAAGGGCUCGUAGGCGGUCAAGUAAGUCAGACGUGAAAUCCCCAGGCUCAACCUGGGAACUGCGUCUGAUACUGGAUGGCUUGAGUCCGGGAGAGGGAUGCAGAAUUCCAGGUGUAGCGGUGAAAUGCGUAGAUAUCUGGAGGAAUACCGGUGGCGAAGGCGGCAUCCUGGGCCGGCACUGACGCUGAGGAGCGAAAGCCAGGGGAGCAAACGGG